CUUAGCAUAAGUGUUAUGGUAAAUUGCUAUUUCCCCGCCACAGGCUGGGCUGGCGUCUUUUUAGCCUGUGAGUGUUCGGUCUGUGCGGGGCGCGCGUCCCGGGCGAUGGGAAGCUCGAGUCGGCCUGCUGACGCGGGUCCUUGUCCCCACAGUGCUGUUCGAGUUUAAUGGCCUCCGAGGUGCUGACGCCCACACCACCUCCGCAGACACCCCCAAACAAGGGAGAGACCAUUCUAACGCAGAUGCUGUCCAAACAGUGCCUCUCAGAAAGGGAACCUAGAGAUACACUUGGUCAGUUCUGGUGCCGUGACCUCGUCCGCAGCCCCCUCCUGGACGUCCCA
rnacentral:lncRNA from 1 species